GGUUGUUCUCAGGUGAUGCACCCCAGAAUUGGGCUCCCUCCUCUCUGGUUUUGGGUGCCUCACCUGAGAAUGGCA
rfam:Myotis brandtii contig156026, whole genome shotgun sequence.